GACGAACGCUGGCGGCGUGCCUAAUACAUGCAAGUCGAACGCAUUUUCUUUCACCGUAGCUUGCUACACCGAAAGAAACUGAGUGGCGAACGGGUGAGUAACACGUGGGUAACCUGCCCAUCAGCGGGGGAUAACACUUGGAAACAGGUGCUAAUACCGCAUAAUUCCAUUUACCGCAUGGUAGAUGGGUGAAAGGCGCUUUUGCGUCACUGAUGGAUGGACCCGCGGUGCAUUAGCUAGUUGGUGGGGUAACGGCCUACCAAGGCUGCAAUGCAUAGCCGACCUGAGAGGGUGAUCGGCCACACUGGGACUGAGACACGGCCCAGACUCCUACGGGAGGCAGCAGUAGGGAAUCUUCGGCAAUGGACGCAAGUCUGACCGAGCAACGCCGCGUGAGGGAAGAAGGGUUUCGGAUCGUAAAACUCUGUUGUUAGAGAAGAACAAGGAUGAGAGUGGAAAGUUCAUCCCUUGACGGUAUCUAACCAGAAAGCCACGGCUAACUACGUG
rnacentral:rRNA from 1 species